rnacentral:rRNA from 1 species
UACGGAGGAUGCAAGCGUUAUCCGGAAUGAUUGGGCGUAAAGCGUCCGCAGGUGGCAAUGUAAGUCUGCUGUCAAAGCGUCUGGCUCAACCAGAUAAAGGCAGUGGAAACUACAUAGCUAGAGUAAGGUAGGGGUAGAGGGAAUUCCGGGUGUAGUGGUGGAAUACGUAGAUAUCCGGAGGAACACCAGCGGCGAAGGCGGCUUUCUGGUCCGAUUCUGACGCUGAGGCGCGAAAGCGUGGGGAGCGAUCCGG